rnacentral:rRNA from 1 species
CGGGGAAUAUUGGGCAAUGGGCGAAAGCCUGACCCAGCGACGCCGCGUGGGUGAUGAAGGCCUUCGGGUUGUAAAGCCCUGUCAUGCGGAAAGAACGACCCUGAGACGCAUACUCUCAGGGAGUGACGGUACCGCAGGAGGAAGCACCGGCUGACUCCGUGCCAGCAGCCGCGGUAAUACGGAGGGUGCAAGCGUUGUUCGGAAUUAUUGGGCGUAAAGGGCGCGUAGGCGGUAAUGUAAGUCAGAUGUGAAAUACUCCGGCUCAACCAGAGAACAGCAUCUGAAACUGCAUAACUAGAGUACAGAAGAGGGAAACGGAAUUCCCGGUGUAGAGGUGAAAUUCGUAGAUAUCGGGAGGAACACCAGCGGCGAAGGCGGUUUCCUGGUCUGAUACUGACGCUGAGGCGCGAAAGCGUGGGGAGCAAACAG